rnacentral:rRNA from 1 species
GAUGAACGCUGGCGGCGUGCCUAAUACAUGCAAGUCGAGCGAACAGACGAGGAGCUUGCUCCUCUGACGUUAGCGGCGGACGGGUGAGUAACACCUGGAUAACCUACCUAUAAGACUGGGAUAACUUCGGGAAACCGGUGCUAAUACCGGAUAAUAUAUUUAACCGCAUGGUUCAAUAGUGUAAGACGGGUUUUGUGUCACUUAUAGAUGGAUCCGCGCCGCCUUAGCUAGUUGGUAAGGUAACGGCUUACCAAGGCAACGAUGCGUAGCCGACCUGAGAGGGUGAUCGGCCACACUGGAACUGAGACACGGUCCAGACUCCUACGGGAGGCAGCAGUAGGGAAUCUUCCGCAAUGGGCGAAAGCCUGACGGAGCAACGCCGCGUGAGUGAUGAAGGUCUUCGGAUCGUAAAACUCUGUUAUUAGGGAAGAACAAAUGUGUAAGUAACUAUGCACGUCUUGACGGUACCUAAUCAGAAAGCCACGGCUAACUACGUG